ACAUGGGACGCGCGCCCUAACCAUUGCGCCACCAGCGCGCCCCUACAUUCACAUUUUAAAGACAUUUCAUUGUUAGGAAAGAGUAUUUCUCUGAACUCCAAAAGCAAGAACAAAAUGUAUUAUGACUUAAAUAUGAGGCCCCGUCCAAAUAUGGUAAACCUUUGUGUGAGGAGAAGUCAUAACAUACACGUGAAAAACAUACAGUCAGCCAGAAAAAUACAAAAAUUAAGAGAAAGCAGCUGACCCAGCCGUACAGACAUUCCCUGACUCAGUAGCUGGGUGCAUUUUAAAGGUUAAAAGGAAACAGUGGUCUGGAAAGAUACUGGAAUUCCUGCCUGUCUCAGACACUGAUUUUUUUCCCCCGCCCCUCCUUGUCUGAGAUUCUCUAUUCCCUCAUGCACAGACUCUUUUAAACACUUUGCAAGCCACAGCACACAGAGCCCGACAAAUACACCAACAAAGCUGAUUCAACAAUGAGGGUUACAAUUUCACUGAAUGUCAUCAGUAUUUUUUUAUGGAUAAACAUCAACAGAGAUGCACGCAUAAUCACCUGUGUCCAUUGCAGCAGAUUUCUCUAUGAGGAUUGUAGAGUUCUGUCCCACAGCUGUGUUGUCCUGAUCAAAACAAAGGACUUUGUGCUGUGCCAAGCUGUUCUGCGUCGCUCCGCAGCCCUGGAAGAGAGAGAUAUUUUUUUUAAUAAAAAGGGUGCGGAAGAGCAGAAACAAGGGGGCACGGUCGGUCAUAACCACACUCAAAUGCAAUAACAUAAUAAUAACAUAUAACGUUGUAAUGAUGACAGCGUGUAUUUAAACUGUUAACAUCAUUCACUCAUCUGAGCACAUAAGAUAGAAAAAGGGUCAGUGGUACAUUACCUGAUCCAAAGACUUCCACUCAGAUAUACAGCCAGCACAGCAGACAUGUGAACAUGUGGGGUCAAUAUUACCCUGACCUAGACAGAGGAUAGUUGAUACAAGAUGGAUCAAUUCAAGCAGAACAGAAAAAAACAGCGGAGUUUAAACAUGUGCAGAGGGUGUGGGCAUGAAGAAAAUGAUUCAGAGGGUUAGACCAAGACAAACCAAUUUGAUAAACAGGGCUGACAUUUAAUAAGUGCUGAAAAACUGGUUUUCUGGCUCCUUUGAUAAACACCCACAUCCUAUCUUCCCAGAGUAGAAAGGCUGUAGAACUGUGUGUGAACAGUGUUUCAAUAUUCACAUCUGAACAAAACAAAGACAUGAGCUGAUCUGCAGUCAUAGGAAAAAGCAGCUUUACGAGGCACCGGGUGUGUGUAUUGCGCCUGUCUGAUGGCACAAGUCGCCACAGGGGAGGGCUAAGGCUCUCUUGUUGUUGGAUCUCACCAUGAUGUCAUGCAUUAAUUAUAACAGUAGUUCGGGGUUACAGCGUUCCCUGUUUCAAUGACCUGCAGGAUGGAAUCUUAAUCUCACUUUCAGAUGGUUUGUGUCCAACUGAACAACUCCCUGAGAUCUGGCAAAUACAAAAAGCUAAAAUAAGAAUUCAUGACUCUACAUGCUGUUUUUGAAAUUCUUCUGGAGUCAGUCAUUGGACAGGAAAGUCGUCAGACAGUGUUAUAUUUUGUGUUCCUGUGUAAUGGAGUUAAUGAUUCCACUUGCCAUCACUUGGCAUAGAAUGUCUUUAUUUGACUAUUUCUAUUGUUUAAAUACCGUUUAUAAUUAAUUCUAAUGAGUAUCCACUGGGACUCUGUGUAACAUAAGCGCCCUCUGCUUGUGCCCCUGCAGACUUGAGCAGUGCAACCCGUGUAUCUUUGCCAGUCUGCACUAUGCUGUCCCCGUGAUUAAACGGCGUGCUGGUGCCAAAAGUAAAAGUGUUUGAAUGAUUCAUCACACAACGCAAGAGAGAGUACACAACCGCUACACCUUGAUACUUCCAAAGUGAAAGUUCAGCUAAAAUGUUAACACCAAAGAACAGAGGCAAGUCUCUACUUUUGUUUUCUGAUCCAUGUUUUCAGAGGUCUUUUCCUUCUGCAGUGUGCAAGUUAGCUGCUGCCCACUCUGAUUGCUUUGAGAGAGUAAAUCAUUUUUGUGCCUGAUGUCUUCACAACAAAACAACUGUAUUGUUCAUAGUUCAUCAGCCUACACUUACAUUAACCUGACCUCUAACAGCUGUGUGAAAUACAACUCCAGCUGGAAGGAAAAUAUGUUUAAGUAACGUGAAAAUUCACAACAUUAGUAUUUUCUUUCUUUUACCCGUGACCUCAAUCCUUCCCUAACUUACACCAUACUCACAUUCAUACCUUAAUCUAACCAAGUCUUAACAAUUGCAGUGGCAAUAAAUGAGUUGUAAAACUGUUAAAUGUAACAAUGUAGUUUGGAUUUCUUUAAAUGGAAAAGUUUUCUAUGGAACAGAUGAUGCCCUGAAGGUAAAGGUGUCAGCUCAGAAAGUCUGUUUUUUUUUUCCUAAGCUGUCACGUCUCAAUAACAACCACUUCAAAACAUCAAAUGCUUGGGCGAAUUUUUGGAAGAAGCUUUCCUUGAGGAUCUUGGCCAAAAACAACUGAUGCUGAUUCGCUAGCUCAUUGUGGCUUGACACAUUCCUUAAAAGUAACACCCAAAAAAAACUUCCACAGGCACAGAGUUCAGUAUGUAGAGAAACAGUCCUGUGCUGUAACAAAUAAAGAUUUCUCUCUCUUUACUCACAGACUUAAUGUUCUUAUGUUCUCCAAAUAUGUUCAAGGAAAUAUUGUAGUCUCUCCUUGUAGUUAGUAAAUGUUAGCGUGUUCAUAAGUUGCAUUGAAUGGUGGCUUUUUUUAUUUUUAGGACACACCAACUCUGCAGCAACAGCUCUUUGCCAGUCAUGCUGUUUGAUCAUCAUUCUCUGUCAGUCUUGUUGUAUCGGCCAGUUUUUCUGUGGAUCAUUGUGCUGAAAGGUUUGUGGUGAGGUUGGACUCGGUAAGUUGGUGUUCCCCUACAUUUGCUACACAUACUUAGUUGACUUUGUUAGAAACACUAGGUAAGUGUGGUAUGUGCCACCUACAGUAUGUGGUUUUAUCUUUCAAUAUUUUUUAGUCAGGUUUGUGUUUGGAUUACUUUUACAUGAGGUUAGAGACUAGUUAAGUCCGGUUUUGUUUUGUUGAGUUGAUUUAUUUGGCACAACCACUUUGUCCAAUCCUCACCCCCACCUUGUUCAUUAAAUUCAGUUUUUUUUGUAUAAGAUAAACAUUCUCUUACUCUU